rnacentral:rRNA from 1 species
UUCAGGCCUAACACAUGCAAGUCGAACGAAGGCUUCGGCCUUAGUGGCGCACGGGUGCGUAACGCGUGGGAAUCUGCCCCUUGGUUCGGAAUAACAGUUAGAAAUGACUGCUAAUACCGGAUGAUGACGUAAGUCCAAAGAUUUAUCGCCGAGGGAUGAGCCCGCGUAGGAUUAGCUAGUUGGUGUGGUAAGAGCGCACCAAGGCGACGAUCCUUAGCUGGUCUGAGAGGAUGAUCAGCCACACUGGGACUGAGACACGGCCCAGACUCCUACGGGAGGCAGCAGUGGGGAAUAUUGGACAAUGGGCGAAAGCCUGAUCCAGCAAUGCCGCGUGAGUGAUGAAGGCCUUAGGGUUGUAAAGCUCUUUUACCCGGGAUGAUAAUGACAGUACCGGGAGAAUAAGCUCCGGCUAACUCCGUGCCAGCAGCCGCGGUAAUACGGAGGGAGCUAGCGUUAUUCGGAAUUACUGGGCGUAAAGCGCACGUAGGCGGCUUUGUAAGUAAGAGGUGAAAGCCCAGAGCUCAACUCUGGAAUUGCCUUUUAGACUGCAUCGCUUGAAUCAUGGAGAGGUCAGUGGAAUUCCGAGUGUAUAGGUGAAAUUCGUAGAUAUUCGGAAGAACACCAGUGGCGAAGGCGGCUGACUGGACAUGUAUUGACCCCUUCAGUGACGAAUU